rnacentral:ncRNA from 2 species
UUUGAUUUGCGGGGGGACACAGCAGUGUUGAGAAGGUUAAAACCUGACCCUUGGAACCUGGCCGUUAAUACGGACGUAGGGAGCAAUGAAAAGUGGUAC